rnacentral:lncRNA from 1 species
GCAGCCACAGGUAUUCUGUUGAAGCCUGUGGGUGAGAAAGACAUAAACAGGUGCUAUAAAUUUGUCAGACCAGGAAGCCACAGGCCGUUUAGUAAAUGGUAAACCCAAUGGCCCAAAAGAACAAAGGGGUCUCUUUUCAUCAGAAUGAUCAGGCUCAUUCAACAAAUAUUUAUUGAGCACCCACUUUCUGCCAGAUGGAAGAGCCACUGACAAGGCCUCUUAUUUAAAGAGUGCCUGAAGUGAGGAAGCAAACCCCCAAAUCAUCUGGGAUGGUAUGAACUGAACUCUGGACCGCAACAUGAUGGAAAGGAGGAGCUGGGGUCCCAAGGGCAGUCCAGACAACCUGAACCUGUGACACUCACCCUGCCCACACACUCUCAGAGCUGCAGCUUUCACGGGGGUGACAUGAAUGCUUGUAAAUGAGCUUGCUGAAUGGGAGACCAAGAACGAUGAUAUUGAGCUGUUACUACAUGCCAGACAUUUAACCCUUUCAUCCAGGUUAUCUCAAUCAUUCCUUACAGAAAGGCUUUUGAGAUGUCCUUGCAACUGGAGGUGCCAUAUGAUACAGUUCUGCCCAAAGACAAGAAAGUGAAUGUCUGUUGAGGGCUUCCUAUAAGGCCAAUACAUACAGGUGUUCCCAACAACAGCUUUGUGUUUACCAAUUCAAACUUGGACUUCAGAGAAAACAGAGAGCACUCUACUAUGAUAACACAGAACUAGUACCAUAAUUUUUUUUGGUUAAGAAAGGUGUUUUGAACUAGAUUACUGACUGGCCAUCUGUGGCAGGCCCACUCCUGGAUGUCAUGCCCCUGUUAAUGAAAUCUGGGCGUGCGCUCGUAAACAGACCUGGUGAAUGGUAGACGUCAGCCAUUGCGUGAUGGACAAUCAUCAAUCAUCCAUUGUCAGUUAUUUCUGUCCCAGUGAGUAAGCCUUUAUUUAAAGCAUUAAGUAAGAAUGUUGCCAGACCACAGGAACAAGCCCUGAGCUGUUUGCAGGUGCUGCUAUUCACAGCUGCCAAUUAAACCCCUGACAUUUCCAUAUUGGCCAUGAGGCACAGCAUAUGCUUUUGACAUACCAAUUCUUUAAAAAAAAAAAAAUCACCAAUCUCAGAUUAUCAAUACAUGCCUUUUUCUUUUUCCAUGGUUACUACAUGAA